GGAGGGAAAAAGUGUCUGCACAGCAAAUGGGCGUGGAGGUUUCACACACAGUUUCACUCCCACCUCUCUUGCCUGUCAUUCAACAGCUUAUAUUCACAGGGAGAGGUCUGCCUCAGAGCUGUUGUCUUUUGCACUCAUAUGACCAUGACAGCAGUAAAUGCUUUUGGAUGACCACGUGUGGAAAUCUUCACGAAAGGUUUCAUAUCUAAAGGAAGAAGUGGUCGCCUUACACUGGAAUUUUGAGAGAGGACAAGACAGCUGCCUACCAUCUCAGGGCUUUAAUAUCUAAACAACACACUGGACACAUUGUUUCACUGAAGAAGUGUAUUCAGAUUGAGGAGUGGUUUUACCUUUUUAAUUUUUAACAGAAAUGUCUACUUUACCCCAGAAUCAUGAUGAAGACGUCCAGCUGGGUCUCAUAGCAGGGUCAGGUGACACACAUAAUAACACAUGCAAUCAAGUAGUGAUCUGCGCUGAACAGGGUGCUUCCUCCUGCUGUUAUGACAAGAACCACAGAAAACUAGCCAUCUGGAGCAUCAUCUGUGGGCUCUCCUGCAUUGGAAUCACAGCUCUGAUAAAUUCAGUCAAGGCUGAGACAACGUCAGAUUCACAGAUAGCUGCAAAGUUUUCACAACGGGCAAAGAAGUUUGGGAUCAUCUCCAUCGUAAUAUGGAUUUCCAUUCUGGUUUCAGCUCCCAUACUAAUGGUACUGAUCUCAUAUCUUCUCACUCUGCAAGACUGAUUGAGACCUCUACAGGAGAUAUAACAUGUAGUUGGAGUGGAGUGGCUCCUCUGAUUCAUGAAGACAGACAGCAGACAGUACAAAAGCUGCUUAUCUACAACUGAAAACCACGGAGACAUGAAGACACUGGCAGUUACACAAAACACAAAAAAAGACUGCUUUAGUCCUUCCUUGUGCGGAUAUAUCACUUCCUGUUUACACUUUUCUUCUUCCUCUUAACCAUUUUACCACUGUAAAAAAUGGUGUUAGAAAUCGUACAACUUUUGCAUAUUUUUUUAUACGCUGUAAUAUUUAUUUAACAAUAUAUGAACAUAUGGACAAUCAAAAUUCUAAAUGAACAUAUAAAAUCCAGCAUGACUAUAGUUUGGGACAUGGCACUACAUGACACAUAUACAUUAUACAGUAUAUUAAAGAUUUGAAUUGUCAUUCUCAAGUAAUGACCCAAUCCUUAAUAUGUUUGCACUUUAAAUGGCAGUACAAUUUAACAUUUUUAGAUGCUGUAUAUACUUACAGAUACUACAAAAACAAUAAAUUACUCAAUCUGUCAACUUAAAAAGUAUCAACAUACACAUGUCUGUCAAGGAUUGGGUCCACAAUUUAAUAAAAUGGGAUGGCAGUGCUUCUUCAGAAUAUAAUAAGAUCCUGCUCGUUGCCAACAUUACCUUGGCAUUAUUGCAUUGUUACCAUAUUAGCUUUAUUAAUGUAAAAUGUAUCAAUAUGUUGUACUUUUACACCAACAUAAAAAGAAACAAUUUUAUAAUAAAACAACAGAAACG